rnacentral:rRNA from 1 species
AGAGUUUGAUCAUGGCUCAGGACGAACGCUGGCGGCGUGCCCUAAACACAUGCAAGUCGAGCGGAGACAGUGAGUAGCUUGCUAUGAGCUGUUUUAGCGGCGGACGGGUGAGUAACGCGUGAGCAACCUUUCCCAGACAGGGGAAUAACACACCGAAGGUGUACUAAUACCGCAUAAGACCACGGAAUCACAUGGUUCUGAGGU